rnacentral:lncRNA from 10 species
CUGGAGUGAGGUGGCAUGAGCUCGGCUCACUGCUACCUCCACUUCCCAGGUUCAAGUGAUUCUCAUGCCUCAGCCUCACCAGUAGCGAGAUUACAGAUGUGCACCACCACACUCAGGAGCAAAAGUAAAUAUUCUAAAUGAUGGAUGCACGAGGGCUACUUUACAGCUACCAGGGCAGACACCACCAUCUAAAACACUGGUCUAAACUCCUGAAUUUGUCCGGGUGCGGUGGCUCAGGCCUAUCAUUCCAGCACUAGGAAGCC